CACGGUGGCGCUGAUUGGUUGAUCUGGGGGAAGGUGGCGUAGGGCGCGGGGGGCGGCUGUAAGGAAAGCUCUGGAAGAUUCGGGUGCUGCUGGGCGCCGAUUGGUGCGCGGUGAGGACACACGGGAUACAGCUUUAAGAUCUGUGCUGCCAGGAUAAACAGGCUUGGGCACAUCUUUGACCCAGAGGAACAUGUGGCAAUUCACUGUGCUUCUGAUGUAAGGAGACUUCUAAAGGGCAUUUUAUAAAGACGCCAUCAGCCUAAAAUCACAGGUUUGUGUCUGCGUGUUAUGCCAGUGAAAGCAACAAUUAAUAACUAGGUCUAUUCUAAAAAUUACUUGUCUGCAUCUUUUCAGUCUACCUCCUGCCUGGGAGUGUUUUGGAUCUGAUCCAAGCUGCACUGCAGUGAAGGAGCUCCCUUUGUUCCUGUUCUCUCUGCUGCGUCUGAGCCGAUUUAGCAUGUGGUUUCUGGGGUGAGGUUUUCCAGCAGGAUAGGAAAGCAGCACCUUGAAAAACAGAAAAACGCCCUUCUGACCAGACUUCGCCCGUUGGUUCAGAUGUGAUACCUCCUGUAUUUUGUCUUCAGAUUCAGCUCGGAUCCCUUGGCGAAAAGCUUUAGCAAAAGCUUCUUCAUCAAGCUUCUACUAAAGUUUGGCAAACAUUGCAGCAGAUUUGGACGUAAUGUACCAGCGAAAGCUGUUAACUCUUUGGGCGCUGGGGAACACCUGCCGCCCAGGUACUGACAAUACAGCAUGAAACCACUGACAUGUAGGGCUUGCAAAUCAGAAUACCCAUGAAAUUUAUCAUCAGCGAGAGAUCCAUUAUAAAGUCUUUAAUUGAUUAUUUAUGUGAGAGCCACUUUUGAGCUUUAAGAGUCCUUUGUAAUAAAAUAUGAAGCAAAUAAAAAAGGAGGAAGCAUUUCUUUACUGUAGCCUUCUGAAACAAAACUGCAUUUUGUUCUUCCAUUUUGUCUCCCAGUUCUUUAUCCUGAAGCAUCACAGCGGAACAGAAUUUAGCUUCUCAAAAUACUUUCUACAUUUAAAAUAUGUUGAACUAAUUGUGGAGCAGCACAGAGAGCGAUAGAUUUGCAGAUAUUACAUGGACUGCAUGUUCACUCAUUUUCUCACUGAAACUGCUCUUUGAGGGUGUACAAGUGCUAAUGUCUCCUGGCUUGCAGAGAGGAGGUCAUUUGUGUGAACUGAUCACUAACAAGCUCCUAAA